GUUUGUGUGAGUAACAAAAUGUGCUCCUAUUCCCUCUGAAUAACAAGGCAGCGAUGAUGAGGUAACACUUAGCAAAGCUGACUCAUUUCCUCAUUUAUAGAUGAAAGGGAUGGUUCGAGAAAUGAUUAUCUCACAGAUAACAUUUUGUACUGGUGAUGCUGGAUGUCCGUGUGAGACAUCUGUGGCUGGGGCUGGACGCCCCCCUCCGUAUCUAGGGAUGCCCCCCUUGCAUGGGGACUGGGACUGUGGGAUUCCAGCCACGUCCUGUUGACUUGAACCGACUCAGCAGGCACUGCCAUCCUGGGAAACCAAGAAACCUCCUCGUCUCUGGCUUGCUGCGAUCUCCUGGGCUUUAUAAUCAGGCUGCCUUCACAGACACAUUCCUCAAAGCUCGUUUGGAGCAUACAUAUUUUUAACACAAGAAGCCUGUUGGGAGAAAAACACGAGAUGAAUGUAUUCCUCACCAAAACUCGUAACUCUUUGCUUCCUCCACUAGCUUUUACUAGGACUUGACAAAAAUGGAAAUAGUCUCUCUAAAUAGGAAUUUGUUAUUUUCAUUCAUUUAUAACACGUGAACUGCCCUCUGUUGCCUCUUUCCCUACUUGGUCUGCCUUCCUUUGAAUUCUCGUGUAAUUUUAACGGUUGUACAAUUCUUUGUGUUGUUGGGAAAUCACUAAUUGUGAAACAUGUUAAACUGAGCACAUUUAAAAAUAACCUAGCCUCUCCUACUGUUUGGGUAGGGCCAUUUGCUUGUUUGGGGUUGCUAAUGGGAAUAAGUGACCAUGUGUGCAGUACCUCUCGAGCCAGCUUGUUUGCUCAGAGGAAAGAAUUCAUUGAAAAGCCAUAGACUACAUUCCAGAACGUUGGCCAACCACUUUGCAAAAGUAUACUGUUGGGUCACAGCAAGGCGCGCCAUCGCUCCUGGAAAAGCAACUCCAAAUGUCUGCCUGGGGGACAGAGAUCUUGUUGCAGGAUGUCCAUAUAGGCAAUGCUACUACGCAUUUUUAUUAGUGGUUCUUCCCUGCUCCUCCUAAUAAAAUGCUAUUGGAAUA